rnacentral:lncRNA from 1 species
AUUAACAAACACAUUCCAUACAUAGUCAUAAACAUAAAAUUUCUGAAUUUCAGAGACAAAGGAGAAUCUUUAAAUGGAAAGUUAAAGGUAUCCUGACAUACAGCUGCAGAGACAGACACUGUAUUGCCUCGGGGAGAACUCCAGCCCCAAAGGGCACUUGCCCCUUUGGAGUCAGCCACCAUGUUAUGAGGAAGUCUGGGACACAUGAAGAGGCCACAUGCACUUAUUCUGUCUAAAAGCCCUAGCUAAUUGCAAGGCUGACAGCCAGCAGCAACUAUCAUUUUUGUGAAUAAAUAAGUCUUCAGAUGAUUCCAAAUCCCAGCCUUUGAGUCACCCCAGCUGAUGUCAAGUAGAGCAAAGAUGAGCUAUCCUCACCGAACUCCAUCUAAAUUGCUGAUUCCUGAGCAAAAUAAAUGUCAUUGUUCUAAGUCUCUAAA